AAUGCAGUAGGUCUUCGGAUCGUAAGCUCUGUUGUUAGGGAAGAACAAAUGUGUAAGUAACUGUGCACAUCUUGACGGUACCUAACCAGAAAGCCACGGCUAACUACGUGCCAGCAGCCGCGGUAAUACGUAGGUGGCAAGCGUUAUCCGGAAUUAUUGGGCGUAAAGCGCGCGUAGGCGGUUUUUUAAGUCUGAUGUGAAAGCCCACGGCUCAACCGUGGAGGGUCAUUGGAAACUGGAAAACUUGAGUGCAGAAGAGGAAAGUGGAAUUCCAUGUGUAGCGGUGAAAUGCGCAGAGAUAUGGAGGAACACCAGUGGCUGCAGACGA
rnacentral:rRNA from 1 species